CCUACGGGGGGCAGCAGUGGGGAAUAUUGCACAAUGGGCGCAAGCCUGAUGCAGCGACGCCGCGUGAGCGAUGAAGGCCUUCGGGUCGUAAAGCUCUGUCCUACGGGAAGAAUAAUGACGGUACCUUAGGAGGAAGCCCCGGCUAACUACGUGCCAGCAGCCGCGGUAAUACGUAGGGGGCGAGCGUUAUCCGGAAUCACUGGGCGUAAAGGGUGCGUAGGCGGCCCUGCAAGGCAGGAGUUAAAUCCCUCGGCUCAACCGAGGUCAGCGGUUGAAACUGUAGGGGUUGAGUGCAGGGGAGGUGGGGGGAACUCCUAGUGUAGCGGUGAAAUUCGUGGAGAUGAGGGGGAAUGCCAGAGGCGAUGGCGGCUCUCUGGAGUGGAUCUGAUGCUGAGGCACGAAAGCGUGGGGAGCGAGUAGGAUUAGAUACCCUUGUAAUC
rnacentral:rRNA from 1 species